CUUCUUUAAAAAUAAUAUU
rnacentral:miRNA from 1 species